GACGAACGCUGGCGGCGUGCUUAACACAUGCAAGUCGAACGGAAAGGCCCUUCGGGGUACUCGAGUGGCGAACGGGUGAGUAACACGUGGGUGAUCUGCCCUGCACUUUGGGAUAAGCCUGGGAAACUGGGUCUAAUACCGAAUAGGACCACGCGCUUCAUGGUGUGUGGUGGAAAGCUUUUGCGGUGUGGGAUGGGCCCGCGGCCUAUCAGCUUGUUGGUGGGGUAAUGGCCUACCAAGGCGACGACGGGUAGCCGGCCUGAGAGGGUGACCGGCCACACUGGGACUGAGAUACGGCCCAGACUCCAACGGGAGGCAGCAGUGGGGAAUAUUGCACAAUGGGCGCAAGCCUGAUGCAGCGACGCCGCGUGAGGAAUGACGGCCUUCGGGUUGUAAACCUCUUUCACCAGGGACGAAGCGUAAGUGACGGUACCUGGAGAAGAAGCACCGGCCAACUACGUG
rnacentral:rRNA from 1 species